CGCGUAGGCGGUUUGAUAAGUGGGAUGUGAAAGCCCCGGGCUCAACCUGGGAACUGCAUUCCAAACUGUCAGGCUAGAGUAUGGUAGAGGGAGGUAGAAUUUCCUGUGUAGCGGUGAAAUGCGUAGAUAUAGGAAGGAAUACCGGUGGUGAAGGCGGCCUCCUGGACCAAUACUGACGCUGAGGUGCGAAAGCGUGGGGAGCAAACA
rnacentral:rRNA from 1 species